AUGGCCGACGGCACCCGCAGCCGGGUUCGGAGGCGCCGCCUCGCCGCCGGCAGGAACCGCCUCGGCGCCCUCCCCGACGACGUCCUCCAUCACACCCUCACCUACCUCUCCGUCACGGAAGCUGCCAGCGCCGCCGCCCUCUCCUCCAGCUGGCGCUACCUCUGGCGCUCCUACCCGCUCGUCCUCGAGGAUAAAGGCAUCCCCGCGCCCGCGCGCGAUGCCCUAGUACCCCGAGUCCUCGCCGACCACCCGGGCCGCUUCCGCUCCGUCAUCCUCUACGACUGCAGGCUCGCCUCCCUGAACCGUGAGCUCCCCGGGUGGCCGCGCCUCCUCGUCGACAAGAGCACGCAGCAACUCCUUCUCGCCCACCACGACUGGACCGUGAUCCAGCCCGACUCCGCGCGCCUUCUUCCCGCCGACAUCCUCCGCUGCGGCUCGCUCCAGGUGCUCAGCCUGGACUUCUGGACGUUCUCCGCCGACCUCUCCCGCCGCGCCGACAUAUCUCUUCCCCAGCUCCAGAUUCUCACCCUGACGAGGAUUGUCGUAAGCGACCGGGACCUGGAGUGCUUGAUCGCUGCCUGCCCCGUUCUGGAAUCCCUUCGGCUCACCCUCAAUAGCCCCAAGCAUGUCCGUCUCCGCAGCAAAAGCCUCAGGUGCGCGCUCGUUGGGCUGUCCAAGGUUGAGGAGUUCGCCGUGGUGGACACGCCGCUACUGCAGCGGCUCUACUUGUUCCAGCAGAUUAAUGGUGGGGCGGUCAGGAUCGCUUGUGUUCCCAACCUGCGCGUGCUCGGCUACCUGGACACAAGAACUCACAAGCUGCAGAUUGGGGACAGCGUCAUCAGGCCGGACACAAUGGCGAGCGCAAGGACUGUGGUUCCAAGCGUCGAGAUAUUGGCGUUGGCUCUGAAUUUGGGUAUCUCCGAGGAGGUUAAGAUACUGGCCAGCUUCCUCAGAUGCUUUCCGAACGUUGAGACGCUGCACAUUGAGUCUGCACCGCAUAAGCCACCUGUAACUUCCAGUGAACCCAGUGGGGAGCAUCAUGCCAGGUUCUAUCAGGAGGUCAGUCAGGUUGAUUGCUUGAGAGCACAUGCCAAGAAGAUGGUUAUUCACGAUUUCCGAGGGGAUCAAAAUGAAUUUGAAUUCAUCAAGUUCAUCGCCAAGAAUGCCGAGGAGCUGCAGUUCUUUCUGGUUAUUGUGUCGGACGAAGGGAUCUUGUCUUCAGCUGACAAGGUGAAGGAGAUAAAAGACGAAUUGCAGUAUGUACAGUUUCGCACAGGUAUCUCUGCAGUGUUACGGGAGUUACCUAAAGCUGGCAUUCCUUACCGCUUGAAGAGAGCAGCCGAUCUUGCAAUCAACGACCCUUUUCAGUGCUGA
rnacentral:rRNA from 1 species